GACGAACGCUGGCGGCGUGCUUAACACAUGCAAGUCGAACGGAAAGGCCCCGCUUCUGUGGGGUGCUCGAGUGGCGAACGGGUGAGUAACACGUGAGUAACCUGCCCUUGACUUUGGGAUAACUUCAGGAAACUGGGGCUAAUAACGGCUAGGAGCUCCUGCUGCCUGGUGGGGGUUGGAAAGUUUCGGCGGUUGGGGUUGGACUCGCGGCUUAUCAGCUUGUUGGUGGGGUAGUGGCUUACCAAGGCUUUGACGGGUAGCCGGCCUGAGAGGGUGACCGGCCACAUUGGGACUGAGUUACGGCCCACACUCCUACGGGAGGCAGCAGUGGAGAAUAUGGUACUAUGGGCGGAAGCCUGAAGCAGCAACGCCGCGGGCGGUAUGACGGCCAUCGAGUUUUAAACCGCUUUCGCCUUAGACGAAGCUUGAGUGACGGUAAUGGGUAAAGAAGCACCGGCUAACUACAUG
rnacentral:rRNA from 1 species